AAAAACUUAGGAUUAACUAAACCAAGAGCCUUCAAAGCUCAAAAUAGGGAUGAAACCCCCUAGUUUUUG
rnacentral:tRNA from 1 species